GUUCAGAGCCAGGGGCUCCAGCUGUGAGGAAGGGAGUGUACAGCAAGAAGAACUGAAAAUGAGCACUCCAGCAAAGGUUCAUAGCGACACUACUCCCGAUAGCCAAAAAGGUGGAAAUCACCCAAACAGCAUCAAUGAUGAAUGAAAAGAAAACAAACUGUGGCGACUAAACAGCACUGGGGUCUAGCAGCUCAGCCUUAUUCCUGCUCCCU